rnacentral:rRNA from 1 species
UACAGAGGGGGCAAGCGUUGUUCGGAAUUACUGGGCGUAAAGGGCGCGUAGGCGGCCUGCUAAGUCGAACGUGAAAUCCCCGGGCUCAACCCGGGAACUGCGUCCGAUACUGGUUGGCUUGAAUCCGGGAGAGGGAUGUGGAAUUCCAGGUGUAGCGGUGAAAUGCGUAGAUAUCUGGAGGAACACCGGUGGCGAAGGCGGCGAUCCGUGGACCGGUAGUUGACGCUGAGGCGCGAAAGCCAGGGGAGCAAACGGGG